rnacentral:rRNA from 1 species
AACGCUGGCGGCGUGCCUAAUACAUGCAAGUCGAGCGAAUGGAUUGAGAGCUUGCUCUCAAGAAGUUAGCGGCGGACGGGUGAGUAACACGUGGGUAACCUGCCCAUAAGACUGGGAUAACUCCGGGAAACCGGGGCUAAUACCGGAUAAUAUUUUGAACUGCAUGGUUCGAAAUUGAAAGGCGGCUUCGGCUGUCACUUAUGGAUGGACCCGCGUCGCAUUAGCUAGUUGGUGAGGUAACGGCUCACCAAGGCAACGAUGCGUAGCCGACCUGAGAGGGUGAUCGGCCACACUGGGACUGAGACACGGCCCAGACUCCUACGGGAGGCAGCAGUAGGGAAUCUUCCGCAAUGGACGAAAGUCUGACGGAGCAACGCCGCGUGAGUGAUGAAGGCUUUCGGGUCGUAAAACUCUGUUGUUAGGGAAGAACAAGUGCUAGUUGAAUAAGCUGGCACCUUGACGGUACCUAACCAGAAAGCCACGGCUAACUACGUGCCAGCAGCCGCGGUAAUACGUAGGUGGCAAGCGUUAUCCGGAAUUAUUGGGCGUAAAGCGCGCGCAGGUGGUUUCUUAAGUCUGAUGUGAAAGCCCACGGCUCAACCGUGGAGGGUCAUUGGAAACUGGGAGACUUGAGUGCAGAAGAGGAAAGUGGAAUUCCAUGUGUAGCGGUGAAAUGCGUAGAGAUAUGGAGGAACACCAGUGGCGAAGGCGACUUUCUGGUCUGUAACUGACACUGAGGCGCGAAAGCGUGGGGAGCAAACAGGGAUUAGAUACCCUGGUAGUCCACGCCUUAACGAUGAAUGCUAAUUGUUAA